GACGAACGCUGGCGGCGUGCUUAACACAUGCAAGUCGAACGAAGAGCGAUGGAAGCUUGCUUCCAUCAAUCUUAGUGGCGAACGGGUGAGUAACGCGUAAUCAACCUGCCCUUCAGAGGGGGACAACAGUUGGAAACGACUGCUAAUACCGCAUACGAUCUAACCUUGGCAUCGAGGAUGGAUGAAAGGUGGCCUCUAUUUAUAAGCUAUCACUGAAGGAGGGGGUUGCGUCUGAUUAGCUAGUUGGAGGGGUAACGGCCCACCAAGGCGAUGAUCAGUAGCCGGUCUGAGAGGAUGAACGGCCACAUUGGGACUGAGACACGGCCCAGACUCCUACGGGAGGCAGCAGUGGGGAAUCUUCCGCAAUGGACGAAAGUCUGACGGAGCAACGCCGCGUGAGUGAUGACGGCCUUCGGGUUGUAAAGCUCUGUUAAUCGGGACGAAAGGCCUUCUUGCGAAUAGUUAGAAGGAU
rnacentral:rRNA from 1 species